CAGACAGAACACUGCUAGAAAACCCUCUCAGGAUGACGGUUUGAAGGAGGACAAGGAAGAGAAUGUGGUUGGAGGACCAUAUAAACACUACCGGAGUUAGUCACCUGACAUUCUAUGCCAGACUUGGUGACAAGACCAUGAGGACACGAACCUUCAGCACGUGAAGAAGAGGUAGAGGGACCAUAUGGCUACAGCCAGGAAGCCAGAGCCUGACAGAGCAAGGCAGGCACAGAGAGCCAGUCUCGGGCUCUCCUGGACACCUUCCUACUAGCACAGGGACCCCUUCACACUGGACCUGUCAAUCACAGUGCUCUCUCUUAGCUCAGAGACACACAAGGUCUGGCUACGUGCAGUGUGGGGUAAGUAGCUCAGGCAUAUAGGAAUAACAAUAGCCUGGUUACAAGUAAAUGUAGAAACCUAUAUCUGGGCUGGAGAGAUGGCUCGGCAGUUGAGAGCACUGGCUGCUCCUGCAGAGCACUUGAGUUUGGUAUCUAGCACCAACAUGGACUGGCUCCCAACUGCCUGCAACCCCAGCCCCAGAACAAAUGCCAUUUUCUGGCCUCCAUAGGGACCUACAUGCACAUGGCAUGUAUACAGCACACAUGCACACACACACACCAAUCCUGAGGUACUGGAGAGAUGACUCAGUGGCUAAGGGUACAUGCUGCUCUUACAGAGCACAUCACACCAGCAGCUCACAACUGUCUGUAACUCCAGCUCUGGGGGAUCCACCCCUCCAGGAUCCACAGGUAACUAUACUCAUGUGCACACACAAACACUGAGAAACACACACACACAAUUACAAUAAAAUUAAAUCUUAAAAAAAAAAGCCAACAACCCUUGGGUG
rnacentral:lncRNA from 1 species